UACGAAGGGGGCUAGCGUUGUUCGGAAUCACUGGGCGUAAAGGGCGCGUAGGCGGCCGAUCAAGUCGGGGGUGAAAGCCUGUGGCUCAACCACAGAAUUGCCUUCGAUACUGUUUGGCUUGAGACCGGAAGAGGUUAGUGGAACUGCGAGUGUAGAGGCGAAAUUCGUUAGAUAUUCGCAAGAACACCAGUGGCGAAGGCGGCUGACUGGUC
rnacentral:rRNA from 1 species